rnacentral:rRNA from 1 species
AUCGAACGCUGGCGGCAGGCCUAACACAUGCAAGUCGAGCGGAUGAGGAGAGCUUGCUCUCUGAUUUAGCGGCGGACGGGUGAGUAAUACCUAGGAAUCUGCCUGGUAGUGGGGGAUAACGUCCGGAAACGGGCGCUAAUACCGCAUACGUCCUACGGGAGAAAGCAGGGGACCUUCGGGCCUUGCGCUAUCAGAUGAGCCUAGGUCGGAUUAGCUAGUUGGUGGGGUAAUUGCUCAGCAAGGCUACGAUCCGUAACUGGUCUGAGAGGAUGAUCAGUCGCGACGGAACUGAGACACGGGCCAGACUCCUACGGGAGGCAGCAGUGGGGAAUAUUGGACAAUGGGCGAAAGCCUGAUCCAGCCAUGCCGCGUGUGUGAAGAAGGUCUUCGGAUUGUAAAGCACUUUAAGUUGGGAGGAAGGGCAGUAAGUUAAUACCUUGCUGUUUUGACGUUACCGACAGAAUAAGCACCGGCUAACUUCGUGCCAGCAGCCGCGGUAACAC